rnacentral:rRNA from 1 species
UACGUAGGGGGCAAGCGUUGUCCGGAAUCAUUGGGCGUAAAGAGCUCGUAGGCGGUUUGUCGCGUCUGCCGUGAAAGUCCGGGGCUCAACUCCGGAUCUGCGGUGGGUACGGGCAGACUAGAGUGAUGUAGGGGAGACUGGAAUUCCUGGUGUAGCGGUGAAAUGCGCAGAUAUCAGGAGGAACACCCGUAGCGAAGGCGGCACUCUGGGCCGGAACUGACGCUGAGGAGCGAAAGCGUGGGGAGCGAACAGG